GCUUGCUGCUAUCCGGCAUUUCCGGAACGUUGAAUCUUUUUAGACCUUUUCGGUAUUCUAGUCACUGUGUGAUUUAAAUACACUUUUAUCAUAUCUAUUAGUUACCUCAUGAAUUUCAUAUUGUCAUAUUAAUCAGCAAGCUGGCUGACACCUAUAGGUUAUCUUCAACCUAGAUUAGCACUAGCCUAGUCGCUAAUGAUAGCUAGCUAGCUAACAUCCCCGACCAUUAGCUCACUGAGCUACUUCCCCCUUGCUAAAGAAAAGGACGUCGACUGGACAGACACGCUCUCGUGAAAAAGGAGGAGGUAAAAAGUUUUUUUGGGGAAGUUACAAUGAAAGAAGAGGAAGCUUUCAGAGUGAAAGAGGAGGAGGAUGCAGUGGUUGGCGUGAAAGAGGAGGGUGAGAUGACUGUCUCAUUGAAAGAAGAGGAGGGUGACGAAGAGGAGACUGGAGAUCUUAACACCAGAGAGAGACCAGACUCUCGCUCUAAGAGUGGGAAGAGUCCUUCAGAGGAACCAGACCUAGAGAAGCCCAAACCAGCCAGACCACAUCAAUGCUCCCACUGCGGAAAUAGUUUUACUUGGUUAGUGGACCUGAAAAGGCAUAAGAGUAUACACACAGGAGAAAACCUUUACCACUGCUCUCAGUGUGAAAAGUGAGUUUCAACAUCACAGUCAUUACAAUUGUACCAGAGAGUAUACACAGGUGCAAAACCACUGCUUUACCACUGCUCUGACUGUGGGAUGAAGUUUGCGCUGCCAGGUAAUUUGAAAAGACACCAAUUGGCACACACGGGAAAUAAGUAUUACAGCUGUGAUCAAUGUGGGAAGAGUUUUACUACAUUCAACUCCCUGAUAAACCAUCAGCGAAUACACACUGGAGAGAAGCCUUACCACUGCUCUGUCUGUGGGAAGAGUUUUAAUCAACAAAGCAACCUGAAAUCACACCAGCGGAGAGACUCAGGACAGAAGCUUCAUCACUGCUCAAAUUGUGGAAUGAGUUUUACUACUCUAGGGAAUAAAACAAUUAACCAGCGAACACACACAGGAGAGAAACCUUACAGCUGCUCUGACGGGGAAAAGUUUUGCUAGAUUAGAUGGACUGAUGGUACACCAGCGAAUACACAGAGCAGAGAAACCUUUUAGCUGUGAUCAAUGUGGGAAGACACUCAGUCAGCACAUCAGGCUCUACACAAGAGAAUACACACAGGGGAAAAGCCUUAUCACUGCUCAGACUGUGGGAUGAGCUUUACUAACUCAAGCCACCUGGCAGCACAUCAGAGAAUACAUACAGGAGAGAAGCCUUAUGGCUGUGAUGAAUGUGGGAAGAGUUUUGUUAAUUCAGGAUCUCUGAUUAAACACAAGCAAACCCACACUGGAGAGAGGCCUUUCCAUUGCUCUGAAUGUGGGAAUUGUUUCGUUAGGUUGGCACAUUUAAAAUUGCACCAAAGAAUACACACAGGAGAGAAGCCUUACUACUGCUCUGAAUGUGGGAUGAGUUUUACUCUGGCAAGCAACUUAAACAGCCACCAGUAAACACACCGGAGAGAAGCUGUACCACUGCUCUGACUGUGGGAUGCGCUUUACUUUCUCAAAAACCCUGACCAUACACCACAGAGCACACAUGGGAGAGAAGCCAUAUCACUGUUCUGACUGCGGGAAGUGAUUCACUCAGGAACCCUGGUUAAACAUAAGAGAAUACACACUGGAGAAAAGCCUUACCACUGCUCAGACUGUAGGAUGAUCUGUACUUCUAAGGAUUUAGUAGUUCACCAACGAAUACACACCAGAGAGAAGCCUUGUGGUUGUGAUCAGUGUGGGAAGAGAUUCACUCAAUCAGGAAUCCUGAUUAAACACAAGAGAAUACACACAGGAGAGAAGCCUUACCACUGCUCUGACUACGGGAAGCGAUUUGCUCAAUCUCAGCAACUGGAGAAAAGCCUUAUGGUUAUGAUCAGCGUGGGAAGAGAUUCACUCAGUCAAGAAGCCUGGCUGAACACAAGAGAAAAACACAACACUGAGUCACUCAAUUUCGGCUUAUGCCAAUUUCUGGAGGUCACAGUGGGGCAACGAUAUUUGGCUUUCCCAUGGAUCUGAACGCUGGUGUCACUACAAUGAAAAAUACCUUUGGUGGUAAUAUUCUACACUCGGAAUGUGACCCCUUUGGUCACUUUAUUUGUCUUGUAAUCUGUUACAAUGACAUUACGCUCAUUACUGUACACUUCUACGGGUACAACACCAAACAUGAGAAUGGACCUGAGCCCUAGGACCAUACGUCAGGACUACCGGGCAUGAU